CGGAGAGGCGGACAGUGGCGGAGAGGCGGACAGCGGCGGCGCGGCGGAGAGGCGGACAGCGGCGGAGAGGCGGACAGCGGCGGAGAGGCGGACAGCGGCAGCGCGGCGGAGAGACGGACAGCGGCGGAGAGGCAGACAGUGGCGGCGAGGCGCGCAGCGGCGGCGCAGGCGCGGAGAGGCGCUGGCGCCGGCUCUGGCUCGGAGAGGCGCAGGCCCAGGCUCCACUCCCCAGCUGUGAAAGGGUGAAACAGAACCUACUGGAAUGAAGCUGGCCUCCCAUGGAAUGAAGCUGGCCUCCCGUCUCCUUGAUUUGAAGCAGCUUCUCCACGUUGGUUAUUAUGCCAUUUUUCUAAAUCUAACAUUUUAAAAUUUGUGCCUUUUCUUUCUCUUUUGCUUGACUUCUCAGAGGUUUUUUUAACGGUCUUUUCAAAGAAGUGGUUUUCGGUUUUAUUUAUCAAGUCUACUUUUAUUAUGGCUGUUUUAAAAUUAAAUACAUUUAUUUCUUGUUUCUCUU
rnacentral:lncRNA from 1 species